rnacentral:rRNA from 1 species
UACGUAGGGGGCGAGCGUUGUCCGGAUUUAUUGGGCGUAAAGAGCUCGUAGGUGGUGGGGUAAGUCGGAUGUGAAAUCUCCAAGCUCAACUUGGAAACUGCAUUGGAAACUACCUUGCUAGAGGAUUUGAGGGUGGAUUGGAAUACUUGGUGUAGCAGUGAAAUGCGUAGAUAUCAAGUGGAACACCAGUGGCGAAGGCGAAUCCCUGGAAAAUACCUGACACUGAGGCACGAAAGCUAGGGGAGCAAACAGG